rnacentral:rRNA from 1 species
AAAGUUCCGUAACAAGGUUUCCGUAGGUGAACCUGCGGAAGGAUCAUUAUAAUCCCCGGGCCUGGGAUGGGGGUAUAAAAGCCCCCUUCCCAUGCUCUUCAACCCUUUGUCUUUUGCGUACUGUAUGUUUCCUCGGCGGGUUCGCCCGCCGAUAGGACACUUCAAAACCUUUUGUAAUUGCAAUCAGCGUCAGAAAAACUAUAAUAGUUACAACUUUCAACAACGGAUCUCUUGGUUCUGGCAUCGAUGAANAACGCAGCGAAAUGCGAAAAGUAGUGUGAAUUGCAGAAUUCAGUGAAUCAUCGAAUCUUUGAACGCACAUUGCGCCCCUUGGUAUUCCAUGGGGCAUGCCUGUUCGAGCGUCAUUUGUACCCUCAAGCUCUGCUUGGUGUUGGGUGUUUGUCCCGCCUUCGCGCGUGGACUCUCCUUAAAGUGAUUGGCAGCCGGAAUAAUUCUGGGGAACGCAGCACAACUGCAGCCUCCAUUUUACGCCGAGCGUCCAGUAAGCCUUUUUUCAACGUUUGACCUCGGAUCAGGUAGGGAUACCCGCUGAACUUAAGCAUAUCAAUAA